GCCGAGGUCCUCUUCUAGGAUUGGUUGUCCACUCAUAACCAUAAGAUAAUUAAAACGGGGGGGGGCAGGGUAAAAAAAAAACCCUUUUAUCAGCCAUAGGUUAAUGCAAGUGUUUAACAGAUGCUUCGCUAUUAAAAUAUUUCCCCCCAAUACUGAAGAAUCUUAAACCAGCAACCCUAACAGAGAUUGCGAAGAUUUUCAAAGUGGGGCACCUCGAUUUCUCGAAUCUGUGGUGUGGCGAAUAUCCGUGUUCCUCCUGCUUAACUAGCCUGUUUGAAGGCACAGUUCAUUCUCGAGCAAUUCGUCACCUCCUGGGGGUCUUCUCUUCCCGUCUACAGGAGAGUGUGACUUCAGAAAGAACUUCGGAUUGGCCAAGGUCUGAUUCUAUUUAUUCUAAAGACAGAGUUGGAGAUGGGCUACCAUUGGUGUUGAUUGAGAUGACAAGCAGUCACCUGAGCCCAUACAGCUGUGGGAGAAAGUGCUUGCUGCCAAGCUUGAUGACCUAAAUUGAAUACCUGGAACCUACACGACAGAAAGAGAGAGCUGACUGCUGAAAGAUGUCCUCAGAUCUUCACAUGUGCACAGUGGCACCUAUCCAACCAUGCACAUAGUAUAUUAAAAAUUAUUUUUUAAAAAAUCCA
rnacentral:lncRNA from 1 species